GCAGUUUCCAGCUCUAACAAUGAGAGCUAGGACCCAUGAGGUCUGGGAAAACCUGGGCCUGAAUGUUCCCACUUCAUUUGGAGCUCCUGCCUCAACAACAGCAGCCAAGUUCCCAGGGGGUGCCAGGGAAAUGACUGAAUGAAGAGUUAAAAGACCCAAGUCUCAUCUCCUGCCACCUUAGGUAUCUUCUCUACAAAACUCCUCACGGAAGAGAAAAAAUUCUAUAGUGAGAGAAGCUAAACAAUACACAUAUAAACAAGCAAAUACUGCAUGGCGGUAAGCGCCAUGAAGGAAAACAAAACAAGGUAAGAAGUGGCUCUGUGUUACACAAGGUGAUGAGGUAACAGCUCAACACAGGCCUGAAGGAAGAGGGAUCCAUGUACAUAUCUGCAGAAAAUGCCUUCCAGCCAGAGGGAACUGCUUAUGAAAAGUCCCUGAGGCAAAAGCAUGCUUAGCAUAUUUGAGGAAUAGUGGAGAGUCAAUGUGGCUGCAGUGAAGAGAGAGAAGAAAAGUAGUGAGGGCCAGAUCCUGUUGGAAUUUUUAUUUAUUGGUUUAUUUUUAGAAACAGGGUCUCGUUCUC
rnacentral:lncRNA from 10 species